GAAAAUCCUGGGGCUUUGCAAAAACAACAGGUUAAUCUAGUCGUGUGGGAUGAUCACCAAAACAAGACAGGAAAGAAGAACACCGUGUCAAUGCUGAAAAGCCAGCCCCUGUGAGCCCCAAAGUGCACGUUUUCCACAGUCCCAAGGAACACGUGACUGUGUGUUUCCACACUUGAGAAGUCAGGACAAGACCCCUUGGAUAAUGGAACAGGGGAUGGGGGUGGGAGCAAGCACCCUACCUGGUCACCUGCUUAACUUAGAAACCAGCUUUUAAAACCUGUAACUGCAGUAUGAGCUACGAUCAAAUUUGUCUUAACGUAUUUUUUUUAAUGUUUUUAAUACCCAGAACACAGGGCUUCUACUCCAGGGUUUCCUCGCCAGGGAACCCCAAACACACAGGACCUGGAGAAGCCGGGUGGAGCUGGCUUCUGGCCCUGCGCUUGGGUGGUCGGCUGCCUUAAGAAGAACUGCACCCCAGAGACAGUCUCGCAGCUGCCGACCUUAUCCACUCGCCCUUUCUGCCGGAGCCCAGGCCCAGUGCUCCAGCAAGGAGGCUGAGAAAAUGCUGAAGACUGAUGCCCACGGGGGACAGCUUGGGCUAAGGAUAACGUUUGCAAAACAAACCUUUAAAAACCCAUAGCAACCUGUUUCCUAGAGCACACUCUUCAUCUCUCCACCCCCAAACUAGUCCCGACUCGGAUCCUCCUUUUCCUAUCCUCUUCCUCUUGCUCUCCCGUCUCCUAUUCACUUUUCCUCUCCUUUCCUCUUGAUUAUUAUAAACAAAUGCUUUCCAAGUCUUACCGCCAUCAUAUGUGUACAUAUGCAACCCUUACUGUUACCAAUUUGUUGAAGUCAAGACAGGAGGAGGCAAAGUUUAAAAAUCCGAAGCAUUGCAGGAAAUAAAAAUGGAGUGAGUGUUGCCUGGGUAUCAUAAAUUUUUUUUUUUUUAACAGUUCCUCUACUUGGCUCUCCUCCAAAGGUACGCGGCCACAGCAGGCAGGGGCUUGGCAGUGUGGGAGGAGACACCACAGAAGACAGGGAAGAACUACCAGGCCUUGGUUCAUCUCCACACUGGCGAGAGAGGAUGUGCAGAUCACUCUGGGAGAAACUCACUGCCAUGUUGUGACAA
rnacentral:lncRNA from 1 species